rnacentral:rRNA from 1 species
GAUGAACGCUGGCGGCGUGCUUAACACAUGCAAGUCGAACGAAGCACUUUAUUUGAUUUCCUUCGGGAUUGAUUAUUUUGUGACUGAGUGGCGGACGGGUGAGUAACGCGUGGGUAACCUGCCUUGUACAGGGGGAUAACAGUUGGAAACGGCUGCUAAUACCGCAUAAGCGCACAGCAUCGCAUGAUGCAGUGUGAAAAACUCCGGUGGUAUAAGAUGGACCCGCGUUGGAUUAGCUAGUUGGUGAGGUAACGGCCCACCAAGGCGACGAUCCAUAGCCGACCUGAGAGGGUGACCGGCCACAUUGGGACUGAGACACGGCCCAAACUCCUACGGGAGGCAGCAGUGGGGAAUAUUGCACAAUGGGCGAAAGCCUGAUGCAGCGACGCCGCGUGAGCGAAGAAGUAUUUCGGUAUGUAAAGCUCUAUCAGCAGGGAAGAUAAUGACG